GGCUUCUGAGCGCGCGUGUCAGCGGAACCGGGGGCGCGCGUUAAACUCCACUCACUGCGUGGACCUGCUUUCUCGUGGAAAACCUUCAUCUACAUCAAUAACGAUCAAACUGUAUUUACAUCGAGGGGGACGGACCUCACCGUAGGACACAGACAGCCGGGGUCAUCCAGGGCAGAACACAAGCGCUGCACAUCUUAGGUUCAGAGAACAGUCCUGAGUCAGGACUGAAAUGGCAUGUGUUUUUGGACCGGCCACAAAACAGAACCCAACCCACCCAACCCAAGCUCCUCUACAAUCUGACGUUCUAACUAGAGACACCGAGGUUUUUUAAUGACACAGCAGAGCAGUGCCAUGCCGAAAAUACUUCACAGAGUCAUCGGGGAGGCCUUCAUCCAAGAAUUUACAAUUUACGUACCAAAAAAUGUUGCGAGGCUUAAAGUGAGCUGUGAUUGGUCAACGCACAUGUCCGUCAAACAGUCUCCUCCUGAAGUGAUACGCUGCAAUUUGCACAAGAUUUUAUGAACACAAAAGAAGAUAUUUUGAAGAACGUCCCAGUUGACCGCCAUUGAACGAACACAAAACCACUGGACUUCUUUUGUGAUCCACAGAAGAAUGAGUCAUGUACAGGUUUUGAAUCACAUGAGGAUGAAUAAAUAAAUACAAAACUCAAUGAACUAUCCCUUUAAAUGUAAACAAUGGGUUACAAUCUUUAUUAUUCAUCCAAGUACUGCAUCCAUCUAUUGUCUAUCAAACCUCCGGUGACCGCUAAAAAAUGAACACUAGGACAUUACAUCAAAUCCUGUGUUUAACAGGCCAGAACUGUGGAA